AAAAAAAGAGAUGAAGAGGAAGAAAGAAAGAGGAAAGAACAAGGAGAGCAAAAAGAAGAAGAACAGCCUUCCUUCGUGAAUGAGUGGGGAAUCGAAAUUGUUUCUGAUUCUCCUCCCUCUUCUCCCUCUUCUUCUUC
rnacentral:ribozyme from 13 species